ensembl:lncRNA
AUUUAACCCGACCAGUUGCACCAAAACAAGUUUAAACAGACCAGUUACCAAGAUCACUGGUUUCAGCAGGACAUGUUUUAUCUUUCUCCCUCCCUCUCUUUUUCUGUCUCCAUAUCUCUCCAUUCAUUCUCCAUCUCUUCACAGCCCUCUCGAAUUGAUGGGUGAAAUUCACCACUGCGCUCUCCAGAUUGGCUGGGACAGACUCUGGGACAUCCAGAUUGGUCGUCUGGCUGUGAGGGCUGUUAUGAUUGGUUUUCCUGCAGAGAGGUCAUCCCAGACAGACGUCUGACCGGUGGGCGGUGUGUGUGGCGGUGUGUGUGGCGGUGUGUGUGUGUAUUCUGACGCAUUGCUGCAGUGCCCUCCAUGCAAAUAGCUGUGCAACGCUAUUUCACCUCUUAGACACACAUAUGGAAGCAUUCAAGCAUGAAUGUAUAAGGGUGUGUGUGUGUAAACUGUAAUGACAUUAUGGAACAGUUGUAAUAUGUGUUCAGAUUAUUAUUACUGUUCUCCUCUGUUCAGACCCGGCAUAUUAGCACUCUGUCUCCAUGACAACCAGCAAAUCCUCCACCACCACCAGCUCCGCAACAAAGAUACCACAGCCCCCUUUACACACACACACACACACACACACACACUGAGAGAACCAGACCGCCAGUCUCUUUAGCAGGAAGUUAGUACAGAGGUGUGGAAGCAUCUAACAUUUGUUAACUAUCUGCUGGUCACCUCCACAAGCCAUCACCACAAGGAGAGCAGAGAGUGAGAGGUGAAACUGGGAGAGGGAAUGACAUAAAUAAUGUUUUGUGCAAGAAACAGAGGGACAGUGUUUCAUUUCUAAUAAUAGAACCACUGUGUAGUAGGGGAAAUGGAGAGGGAAGAGGAAAAGAGGGAGAAACGAGGUGUGGAAUAGGAGUGGCAAGAGAGGAGAAGAGAGGAGAGGAAGAAAAUAAGGGGAGGAAAGUGCCUCCCAGUAACAGCUAGUCCUAAAGAAGUGUGCAGGGUUUUGAUCCAGCCCUGUCCCAACAUCUGGUUCAAUCAUCUCGUCAGAUCGCCCCUGGCUCAAUCAUCUGGUCAACUCGACCAUGGUUCUGUCAUCUGGUCAGCUCACCCCUGGUUCUGUCAUCUGGUCAGCUCACCCCUGGUUCUGUCAUCUGGUCAGCUCACCCCUGGUUCUGUCAUCUGGUCAGCUCACCCCUGGUUCUGUCAUCUGGUCAGCUCACCCCUGGUUCUGUCAUCUGGUCAGCUCGCCCCUGGUUCGAUCAGCUGAGAUGUGUGGGUGUCAUGUUGUAGCUUCACCUUGUUACAGUAAAACUAUUUAUAUCUUGUUAGGAUACAGAAGGUAACAUCACAGACUAUUGUAUUGCAGAUUCCACCAUGAAAAGCAAAUAAAAAAGGAAUAAAAAUACUAAAUAUUUGGGGGCUUUAUGGUAUGGUCGAAUUAUUCUACAUGUGUGUUUGUGUAUGAGUUAGUUUGCCCAGUUCAGAGUCAGAGUAGGUGGUCAG